rnacentral:lncRNA from 1 species
AGUGCUGGCGCAAGUCGUCUUGCGCCAGGCGACUGGGUCUGAGGAGGCAGGAGUUAUUCAUUCCCUUAAGCUUUCAGGCCGGGGGGAGAAUCUUUCAGGUGGUAGCUGCAAGAACUCUUAGUAUGUUGACCUCACCUCUGCCUUCCACAUACCACUACCAGUGAGGAAUUAGGAAUGCAUGAGAAGAGUGUCCAAGAAGAGUGUCCUCAUUCAUGCAAGGCUUAAGAGAGAAUGCAGGUCAACAUCACCAUGUCAAUCAGAGGUGCAGAUGCUGAGAGCACUUUCUAGUCAAGUCCUGCAUGUUCAUUUCUGUCUCAAGUCAGCUUCUCUGAGAAUCCAAUUUAUAAAAAUAUAUUUGUGAAUGUAUAAGUAAAGUGACUUGGAUUUUGUCUACGUACAAGGACUUCUAUGCCUGCAUAAAACAGGUUUGGAUAUUCUACAGAAGUUCACCUGGGCUUCAGAUUCGCACCUGAUCCUAAUCUCUGAUUAACACCAUCAGAUAAAGAGAUUCUCCUAACAUGUUGGGGCCAUAGACUAAGGAAGUUUAGCAAGUCUGGGAGGUGAGAAAUCUAGGGGCAGUGUGGAGAGAAAAAUAGACCCAACUAAAUUUCAAUAUACAACCCUACAUCAUCUCAGCAUUAUUUUCCAAACACCAUUUCCCCUCUUUAUGCAAUUAUAAAUGUGGACCAGCCUUUGAUAACCAAUAAAGUAGCUGAUGCAAUAUUUUC